UCGUUCGCGAACUGGCGCCGGGCUGUCGUCACCGUCACGGCUCUCGUUGAUAGGCACUGGCGUUUGUGUCGCUGGAUGGGCUGGAGCGAAACUGGGUUCAUUUACAGCAUGUGGCAACAGAGGGCGAGAGACAGGACGGAGAGACCACAGAGACUCCAGGAACUUCAUGCCAAUUUGCUAAAUGGAAAGAGAAAUAGACGAGCGCUGUCCAAAAUAACUUAAAUAGAGGGAAAGCCAGGACUGUGAAGUGGACCACGCAGAACGGUAAAGAUUCCAGAGGCGAAUGACCAUUGAAGGGGAAGAGAAAACGCACUGCAAGCAAAACCAGUGAAUACCUGAAUUUCGUGAGUGAGACUGAGGACUCAUACCUGGAGACACUUGAGGCCCAGUGUCAGCAGCAGGAUCAGCUCUUUAAUCAGCUGUGUGAUGAUGAGGCAGCAGACAGGACAGCCAGGGCUGCUGAGAUGGCCCAGACCGCCUUGUUUAAUAACACCUACAUAGCUGUAUUUGGACAGUUUGUCCAAGCCAUAAAAGCUCAACGUGUCACUAGACUAAACUGGCUGAAGUUCUUAUGUAAAAUGCUUAUUUUUUUAUUUUCUUAAAUUUGCUCUACACCAAACGCAUCGUGAAUGUGGUUUUCAAUUACUGUUCAUUGAAUUUAGCCUACGGUUAAACAAUUAAAAUAUACAUGUUGGAGCAAUACAUUUCUUAAACAUGCUUGUGUUGAUUUUAACUGUAGGAAAUAAAGAUUAGACAUGAUUUACACACUUUUGUUAAAAAACAAACGUUGGUCGAACAUA